AUAGUGCACUAGAAAUAGUUGUGUAUGGAGUUGCAGGAAUACGCCAAAUCUACACAUAUAAAAUGGAUUAAAACACAAUCAGAACGUGAAAGUAUAUACAUAGGAAAUAUAUAAUAUGGAUGUGUUUGUCUGUUGUUCAGCAGGUAGGUACCCAGAUGUCUGAGGAGGCUCUGAGGAUGACUCCCUGAACCCUCCAGUAUGUCAGAGCCAGCAGAAAAUGGCUCCCCCGGCUGGAAAGAUGAGGCCAUUCAGAAUGAGCCAGCAGAAAAUGGCUCCCCCGGCUGGAAAGAUGAGGCCAUUCAGAAUGGUAAUAUUAUCCUCCUCUAAAUCUGACUCUUUAACCUCCUGCUUAUGAUGUUGAGAAAAACAUGAAUUGCUGCAUUAACUCUGUUUAGGUCUGAUAACUCAGGUAAGUAUUAAUUUAGAGAAAUGUGUAAGAAAGUUGUUGGUUUGUGAGAUUUUAACCCACAUGUUACUAAAAAAUAUGUUACGAGUCGCUGCGGACACAUCAUAAUUUAUUGCUUCUCUUUCUCUCUGCUUUCCUCACUCUGACUCGCCUCUGUGAGGGCCUAAGAUAUGCUACAAAAUAAUAUUUGAAAACACUUU